rnacentral:lncRNA from 1 species
CCUGUCUUUAGGUCUCCCUGUAGAGCUGUGGUAAGCUUUCCAGUGCGCCAACCCAAAGCUGAGCUAAUCAUUUUGUUUUGCCACAGAUUUCACUCGAUGGAUCUCUGGGACUGGGAAGAAAAAGGCAAGUUAGGCCUGACUUGGGAAUAGACACAAGGGCACCAAAAUGAAAGGAACAAAAACUCUGGCAAGAGGACAGAGUGUGAAGUUGAAUGGCUUUGGGAUCCACGCAGGAGAUUGGUGGAGCAAACUCCUGCGUAUGUCUGGACGAGUCAUGAAGACACGGCCUUGCAGUCUAUGGCUGCUCCAUCCCCCUUUCCUCUUUGUCAGUGUCCCCUGGUCUAUUUCCUGGCCAUCAUCAACCAAACAGCUUUGCUCCACCAUGCCCUUCCUGCUGUGUUGCUCCUGCUGGCCAUGUACUGAAUCCUUUGAAACUGUAAACUAAAUUAAACAUCUCCUUCUUUAAACAGUCAGUUUUGUACUGAAUCCUUUGAAACCAUAAACUAAAUUAAACAUCUCCUUCUUUAAACAGUCAGUUUUGGGUAUUGUCUCCCAGAAAUGGGAAAGUAGAAAAUACACUCUCUAUCCCCAAUUGAUAUGUUUAAAUUUUAAUCCUUGAGGUAACUCUCUAGAGAUGGAGUAGGUGGGAUGGAUAUCUUUAUAGAAGAGGAAGAGACACCUGAGAAGUCUCCUCAUGCACAGAAGAAAGGCCAUAUAUGGACACAGUGAGAAAGUGGCUGUCUGCAAGGCAGGAAGGGAGACCAGAACACUACUCCUGGCAGCAUCUUGAUCUCGAAUGUCUAGUCUCCAAAACUUUGAGAAAAUAUGUUCCUAUUGUUUAAUCUGUACAGCCUGUGAUAUUUUACCACAAUCAGAUAGGUUCUAUCUUACCCUUUCAGUUCUUCCUCAGCUUCCUGGGAAAGUGUGGGAAGCUCUUACCUCUUAGGCACUUGCCUAUAAAAGAUUAAAUUUCUUUACAAACUUUAAGGAUAUUUGGAGCUUUAGAGUCGCUUCCUCUAUGUCACUUCCUGGCCCUUGCCUGCAAUUCCCAUGGUGGAAUUACACAAUAUUAGAGCUUGGCAUCAACUACAGUGAGCGUUCAAUUGAAGAGGGGCAAGUGGAAACAUCUGGGAGAAUGAAACUUUGGCUCAGGAUAGACAAGGAAUAAAACACUCCGAAGAGCUGGGGUCUCUGCAGGGAAUCAUAAAGUGAUAGGCUGCCUGCUUUUUCUGCCCAGGCCAACUUCCUUCUCCACUACAGAAACCACAGUCUACAUAGACAACAUCCCAUGAUUUUCUUCCUAAGAUGUUCUAUCUCACAUAUUCAACUCAUGUACCUUCCCUGCAGAAUUGUCAGGGAGUCCUGAAAAAUAGGGUUUGAAAAGAAGGAUGUGGAGCUGCAAAAAAAGCUGUCUCCACAAAUUGAAGGUGGAUUCUGGAAAAUAGAAGACAUGGAGACAGGAACUAAUAUAAAUUAGUAUAAGUAGAGGAUGGCAGGCUCUGCAGAAGAUUUAAGUAGGGUGUAGGAUAUAGCCUUAGCAACUUACAGACUGGAAAAAAGACUGUGAAAGUACCUUAAUAGUGCCUGGCACAUCAUAGAUACUCAAUAAAUCCUAGCAUUUAAAAAAAUCUCUUCUUCUAGUCUAAAAUGCAUGUAAGGUAUAAAUAGCAUUUGUAACUUUCUGUUAUAAUCUUAUUUUUCUUACAAUGAAUAUAAAUAUAUUUCACUGAAGUACCCUUUUAUAUCAUAUUUAUACUGGAGCCUUGACAGAAUAAACUUUAUCUCUUUUCACUGACAAACUUUGAAACAUUUAAAGACAAUCCUUCCAUUUUUCCAAAUAUUCUCUUCAUACUGGGCAUAGUGACACAUGCCUGUAAUCCCAGCACUUGGGAGGCUGAGCUAGGAUGAUUGCUGAGAGUUCGAGGUCAGCCUGUAAUACAGAGGGAGACCCUGUCUCAAGAAAAAAAGAAAGCCUACAAGGUCUUCUACUAUUCUGCUUCUGAACUACUUUGAAGGCGUUCAUUGUCUGAAUAAACUUAUGUUUGUAUCUGUCCCUCUUAAAAGGUGGCCAUGAACUUGUCACUAUAUAAACAGCACAGAUAAAAUAGGACUAAUGCAU